ACAAGUAGUCAGAGCCCGUUAAUGGGUGAUGGCGUGCCUUUUGUAGAAUGAACCGGCGAGUUACGAUUUGAUGCAAGGUUAAGCAGUAAAUGUGGAGCCGUAGCGAAAGCGAGUCUGAAUAGGGCGUUUAGUAUUUGGUCGUAGACCCGAAACCAGGUGAUCUACCCUUGGUCAGGUUGAAGUUCAGGUAACACUGAAUGGAGGACCGAACCGACUUACGUUGAAAAGUGAGCGGAUGAACUGAGGGUAGCGGAGAAAUUCCAAUCGAACCUGGAGAUAGCUGGUUCUCUCCGAAAUAGCUUUAGGGCUAGCCUCAAGUGAUGAUUAUUGGAGGUAGAGCACUGUUUGGACGAGGGGCCCCUCUCGGGUUACCGAAUUCAGACAAACUCCGAAUGCCAAUUAAUUUAACUUGGGAGUCAGAACAUGGGUGAUAAGGUCCGUGUUCGAAAGGGAAACAGCCCAGACCACCAGCUAAGGUCCCAAAAUAUAUGUUAAGUGGAAAAGGAUGUGGCGUUGCCCAGACAACUAGGAUGUUGGCUUAGAAGCAGCCAUCAUUUAAAGAGUGCGUAAUAGCUCACUAGUCGAGUGACACUGCGCCGAAAAUGUACCGGGGCUAAACAUAUUACCGAAGCUGUGGAUUGUCCUUUGGACAAUGGUAGGAGAGCGUUCUAAGGGCGUUGAAGCAUGAUCGUAAGGACAUGUGGAGCGCUUAGAAGUGAGAAUGCCGGUGUGAGUAGCGAAAGACGGGUGAGAAUCCCGUCCACCGAUUGACUAAGGUUUCCAGAGGAAGGCUCGUCCGCUCUGGGUUAGUCGGGUCCUAAGCUGAGGCCGACAGGCGUAGGCGAUGGAUAACAGGUUGAUAUUCCUGUACCACCUAUAAUCGUUUUAAUCGAUGGGGGGACGCAGUAGGAUAGGCGAAGCGUGCGAUUGGAUUGCACGUCUAAGCAGUAAGGCUGAGUAUUAGGCAAAUCCGGUACUCGUUAAGGCUGAGCUGUGAUGGGGAGA
rnacentral:rRNA from 1 species